UAACAUUUAUAGGAAAUGGCGCGAUAGACUUGUAUUCGCCGGCGAUGGAGUUGAAAUGCUCGGAUUUGGGCCAAUGGAAGGAGGCCUUAUCUUCAUACGGAGCCCAUAUGGAGUCGCUGAACAAGCCCAACCUCGUUUCUCUCGAUGAUUUCUACCGUAAUGAACUUCCCGGUGUUCUCCGUCAAAGAAACCCUAGUUACAUCACUAAUCCCGAACUCACUAAACUCAUGCAAUGGAAGCUUACAAGAGGCAAAUGGAGGCCUAGGCUGUUGGAUUUUGUAUCAUCACUGGACGACUCUGUGGUGAGAUCUGCUUCAGAGAAGGCAUUUCAGUCUCUACCUGAUAUCAAGAAAGCUAUUACGGAGCUCACUGUGUUGAAAGGCGUCGGUCCAGCCACUGCCUCCGCUGUUCUGGCUGCUUAUGCGCCAGAUAUUGCACCGUUUAUGUCGGAUGAAGCAAUGGUUGCUGCAAUCGGUAACUCAAAAGACUAUACUUUGAAACAGUAUCUAGUUUUGGUGGACAAAUUGCAGGCAAAAGCCAAGAUGUCCUUUCCUUUGGAUGAAGAAAACAAAACUUAAGAGAGGCACUAUCAAGGAUGGUGGGAGAAAGCGGUCAUCGUGACUAUAGGGUUGACCUCACUAGAGACAAAAGACUGAUGCUUUGGCCAGUAGCACAAUAGGUGCGUCAAGGACCUGAUACGCUGGUGAAGCAAGAAGGCAAAAUUCAUGUGAUGAGCCUGAAGUAUUUUUGGUAGUUGAAUUGAGUUUCAUAUGCUGAUUGAUCCCCACAAGUUGGAAUGUCAAUAAUCUCUUGAAGUAAAAACAUGAGUUAUCAGCAAAAGGAGACUGUUUUACUGCAUCAGAUGUUGAAAGGGCACUGUGGAGUUCUGCAGUGGGUGCCAAAUUGGGUGGCUCAUCAAAAGAGCCCAAGGAGGUCAACUUGGAGCGGAAGUCCAAGAGGAAGCG